GGACACGAACCUGGAUACUCACCUCCACUAAAAGGAAGAAUCCCCAUCCUCACAUGAUCAAUAUAAGCUCUUCCAAGGCAGGGCAACAUUUUGGGUCAGGUAUCCAAUAUUAAACUGUAUGACCAUUGCCCAUUUUCAUGUAUGCAAUUAUUUUAGAGAUUUUACUCUCUCAACUUUCAAACAGUAGAGCCAUUCUUUAGGAAGAAGUCAUGGAGUCUGAGUUUAGGACACUCUUGAAAUUAGACAUUUUGUGAUUUUUUUUAAAGCUAUUUCUCCUAUAAGUUAGAUACCUUCAAAGUAAGCAUUCAGAUGGUGGAAUCCAUUUUACUUCUGGAGAGGAGCAAACAAGGCUCUCAUCUUAUGUAUCCCCAUGCGUAUCACUGUCAGGGCCACAGCAGCUAUGCUUUUGGUCCAUUUUUGUCAGCAGCGUGUGAGGAAGGGAGCCAGUAAAGGUGAUCACUAACUUCCCAGAAUUCACAAGCCUUUGCCAGUAUAAGGUCUGUCCCCAUGGGGCCAAGCAAAUAAAAACUAUGUAAGGACCUGCAAAACGAGUGUAAAGAAAGUAGAAAAAGUUUACAUGUUGAAUUUUCAGUCUUCAAGUUGAAUGUGAGCUUUAGCUUUUGCUGAGCAGUUGCUCUGGACAAGUUACCCGUUUCACACAGAGACCUCAGUGCAAGUCCAAGGCCAAUGAGGGAAAGGAUGACCAUGCAAACAGCUGAAAUGAAACUAGGUUUUAUCCAUCUUCUUUGAGAAUAGACGAGCUUUUGUGAUUCAGAAUAUUGUUGCUAAAAGCCAAUUAUUUGUAAAGAUGAUAGUGGUCAAUGAGCAUUAGAUUUUAUAGAUCCGAUAAGGCAAAUAUUUUUAUUAUUAAUUAUCUCAAGGUAAUAAAACUUUUUUUACCUUCCGAGUGCCUCAUGGGACCAACUAUUACACUCUGGGUUUUUGUUUUUGUGAGUUUUUUUUUUUUUUUAACCUUACUGAGCUAAUGUUGACUAAAAUCCUUAGAUCUUUGCCUCUGUGCAAUGAAGUGCUGUUUCUCUACCCUAAGAAACCUAUUUGUAUAAUCUCUGGCUGUAAUUAUCACUUUGAAAGAUUUCCCUUGCAUCUGUAAUGAUUUUUUUUUUUUUUUUAUGGAAUAAGGCAUAAGGGGAAUAAAUACAUUGCAACCAAUGUUAAUGUAGACCUGUGACCCUACAGGUCAAGUUAGCCAAAUGGAGUCAUAGGUAUUUCCAGAAUUCAUGCCUGAAACCUGCUAUUUUUGAAAAGCAGGUAGAUGACAUUGUAGGUCACUGGAUACAUUUUCCCUGUGAGCUAGGACUGACAAUUUACUUCCCGACCCAUCAGAGUAAUUGGCCCUGUGAUCACUCCCAUUGUCAGAAAUCCAGCCUCUAAAAAAAAAAAAAAAAAAAAAAAAAAAAUCUGUCUUCAAAAGAGUUCACGGUUCCCCACUUUUCCAGUAGGCUUGUCUCCUCCCUGUAUCAAUUUUUGGUGGGAUAUUAAUGAUCUCCACUCAACCAAAUGUAAUAUAUGCCCCUAGACCUAUUUUAGAGUGGUUGAGGGAGGCAUCACCAGUACAAACCAACAGGAACUCUACAAGGGACCAGAACCAUGCAACCCUAAGAGGCCGUUUCCCAGCUGGCUGUGUUCUGAGACUCUCGGGUAUUGAAGAGUUCUUCCAGAAUCACAAAUUGGGAAUCUCUGCACAACAUCACAAGAGCUGUGGCCAACCAGUCAUUGAGAACUAAACAAGGAAGCUGCCCCAAAAUACAGUCAGCUGCCCACCAGCCAAAGAGUUUGCUGCUGUAUACCAGCCUCUUCACUUGCCAUUUCAGAUUUGUGCCUCGGCGAAACUAUAAGUUGCCGAAGACCAUGAGACUUCGGGGUCCCUUAUAAAUAUCUUCAAAUUCUAUGUGCCAUCCUUCAAUUCCAAAGAUCUAUUGGAAUUGACACUAUCAGAGCUGCUGUUGAACUUGAUGGCACUGACCCGGAGGGGGGGAACCCUCAUUUCUGGAGUGCAGAAUGUGAACCGUAGGCAGGUGAUCGCUGAGCAGUAGCCUAGGAGUCCAUGAGCCCUUGACCUGUGAACCUCAGCAGUAUGGUGAGGCCACAUCCAGGAAUCACAACCUGAGCUAUCUUCUACAUGUUAAAACAAACCUGUCUUAGAACAGCUUUAAAAAGCAAGAAAUCAAAAGCCAGUGGAAAAUGCCUUUGCCUUUUUAUAUUCUUAAAGUCUCACGUGAUGCCAUCAUAGGGGUAUGAGUUCAAAUGUGUACCCCUCCUGGCCUAGGGUGAAAAGAGGAUGGCAGUCCGAACAAGUUGAGUGAGUGAUUUGCAUUCUCCCCUUCGCUCUUCCCUAGACCUGCCAUUGGUGGUGGAGCCCUUGCCCCCUAGACAGAAUGCAUUUCAGCCCAAUUGCAGGGAAUAUCAUCACUGUGUGUGUGUGUGCGUGUGUGUGUGUGUUGGAUGUCAGUGUUGGAUGUGUCCACCGAGUUUAAUGUUGAGCUGUAGCAAGUUGGUGACCUUCCUCUUUGCUCCUUCUCAAGAAGACAGGUAAUGUUUGCCAGAGAGAGAUCCCCAGGCGUCGGUGUCGAAGAGCCUGUGUCAUCCACCUGCUGUUCCCUUUGGAACAGUUCAACUGCAGAAAUGUCAGAUUGAGAUUUUGUGCUUUGUCACUUUUUUUCUUUUUUGAAACACGACAACACAACUUUGGCUUUUCAGAUACGGAACACUUCUUUUGUUGUGGAGUUCCCUCUUGCUGUAUCUUCUAUGCAAUUCCUUUUCAAGAAAUUUCCUGGCGGAGGAGUGCUCUCCGGGCAUCCCAUCCGCCAUGCCGCUGUGUGGUGGAGGUGAGGGAUGCUAGCUCUGGGUGUGCCUCUUCUCUCUCCCUGCUGCCUCUCCCCAUUUUUUCCUGCAGUCCCUCGGUUUGUAAAUUGCCUGCAUUUAUUCUGUCAGCCAACAUGUACAAAAUGUAAGAAAGAAUUUUUAAACAGGUAAUAAAUUAUAUUUAUAA
rnacentral:lncRNA from 1 species